GGACCCGUGGCGCAGUGGUAGCGCGUGUGAUUCCAGCCUGGGAAUUCCACAAGGUCAUCCGUUCAAUCCGGGUCGGGUUCA
rnacentral:tRNA from 1 species